GCUGCACAGUCAGGGGUCGUCCUGGGUUCCUGCUGUGUGCACGCGGACAGCAGGAACAGGGCAGAGCCCCUGCUGGGACACCUGCUAUUGUGCGUCAUUUUUACAUGAAUGAAAUGGCCAUUUGGGUGACUUGGGGUGGCGCCUGCCCUACAGUAAUCUCCCCCUUUUCUUGGCUUGGUUUGCUCUUGCCUCCUGGGGGUGUUUAUUCGCAAGGCCGUGAGGUCGCCUGCCCUCAGCGCACCAGCAGCGCUGGGCACUGCGCGCCCAGGUCCUGCGCCCAGGGUGGUCCUUCACCUUCCUUAGGCUGCGGCGCCCGGGACAAACGUGUUCAUUUCACCUCUUCUGGUUCCCGCCCUGGCAGCGGUGGGCUGCUUCCAGGACCCUCUUCCUGCUGGCCACUCAAUAGGACCUCACUGUGACCACGAGGCCCCCUCCCCCCAGAUGAAGGUGGGAGCCUGUGCCCCAGAAAGCGGACAGAGGCACAGAGACCCAGACACAGAGGGAAGAAGGCCGUGUGAAGAUGGGGCAGAGCUGUGGCGAUGCUGCCACCAACCAUGACACCCGGGGCCACUGGAAGUCGGAAGAGGUGUCCUGGGCCGUGUGGCUGCCUGGAAAGAACUCCUCUUCCUCAUUCAGGCGGGAAGCACCAAGUCCCUCUCUCCUGUCCUCGCUCAGUGAGGACGAGCAGCAGAUCAACUUCCACGCAAGCAUCAUUGUUUACGAAGCCCGCCGGCCUCCGCCACAGAAGCAGCACAGAGUGAUUGAGAAGUCUCAGGCUGGGGUUCCGCCACUUGGGGAGCCUGUCCCACUGCAGGCUGGCCACGUGGCCUUCGGAGAAUCACCUCCCCAUCUACACCCAGCAUCUUCCCCUGUGAAUGGGGAUAAAGAUUGUGUUUUGAGGACUGAAGGAGGUCAUACGUGUCAGGGACUUGCAGCAGUGUCUGGCAUACAGAGGAUCCCAUCAAGGUCAUCUACAAGAGGGACAUAAUUAGGCAGAGCCGGUGUAACACACACCUUCACUCACACGUGCAUAUGUGUGGGGGUCGACGGGGAGACGAGGGAGGGGCAGACCCAUCUACAAAGAUCUUUGAUCCUUCAGAGCCAGCACUAAUCCAGUGAAACAAGACCUAUGUGGAUGUUACCUCUGCUCUGCAUUUUACUCCACCUCAGUGGAAGUUUGUUAAAAAAAAAAAAAAUCAACUGAGCAAAUUUUAAAGGGCUUAUUGGCCUCACU
rnacentral:lncRNA from 1 species